CACUUAAUUUGUUCAAAAAUUAUUGUUUCUAUUUGUUAUUGCAACAUUUUUUGUUUUGUGCGCUUUCCUACCUUCUAAAAAAGCCUGAUUUUUUAUGGUACUUCUACUGAUUUAGUUUUUAGAUUUAAUUUUGGUUUUAGUUUUCUCAUUAAAAAUUUCAUAAAAACUUUUAAGGAUUUGUAUUUUUUUUUUAAAUGAAAACCAUGUUCAGUAUUAAUAUGUAUUUUUUAUGAUUCCUUUCUUUUGACAACCCUUAGCAAAAAAGAACAAAUGUAUGGAAACAACGGCAGUUGGGUUCCUAACUUCGCCUACCGAUAAUAUUUUUCUAAAAUGAACUUUGUUUUCUGCCAUAUACGUUUCAAAAGGAUUUUGCGGCAUAAUCUAUAGGUCUUUCGCUUUUUCAGAGACAGUUAUUAUAGACAAUAAACAUAGAAACGCUGCUAGGCGAAGUUAGGAAUUGUGCCCUUACUUCGCCUAGCUCAGUCAAAACAGUUUUUGAGGCAUUCUAAAAACUGCAUUACUUUUCGUAAUAGUCUUAAUUUAUAGUCAUGUCUAAAGGCCACCAUAUAUUAAAAACAGGACUUGAAAUAAAAAGCACUCUCUAGGCGGGAAGACAAAAACUGUCAAAAACCAGGCGAUGUAACGGGACACGACGGUACAAAAUUAAUAAUA